rnacentral:tRNA from 1 species
GGCCGCUUGGUGGAAUUGGUAUACACAAGGCACUUAAAAUGCCUCGGGCCUCGCCCAUGCGGGUUCGACCCCCGCAGCGGCCACCA